AUCAAUUUUAUUGAAUCAUGAAUAAUUUAAGACUGGUACAAUCAUCAGCUUUAUUCUCUAUGACGUGGGGCAUGAUCUCCAGUAGAUCGAUGGCAGAUCCAAAAACCUCAUGACAAAUGAAAAUUAAAUAGGGAGGACGGGAGGGAAGGAGGAAGGAAACAUACCGUACACAAAAUACUCAAUUCCUAGUUUUCUCUUUAAAAAUGGCUAGAAAAAAUUCAUCAAAAUGCAGCACUUUAAUCGAUUAUUUACAAUUUCUAUGUUACAGUGAAAAAAUGUACAUCUUAUAGGACAUAUUUCAUAAACUGCUCCACUGGAAACAACUAGAUUAAAACAGCAAACCUUCCAUUUAAUAUCCACAAAGUUGGAUUGUUUUUUUUUUUUCCUUUUGAAGUAGAUUUACCACCAUCAGAUCUGAGUACACGGAAUUCCGAAGUUGAAGCAUCAACAGUAAAAUAAAAAAUGUCCCCAAGACACAACAAAGGUCUAGGCAAGUCUCGUUCCUUGUCCCACCCCUACCCCACCCCCAAACUUAAAUUAAAAGAUAUUCCCAUCUCAUUUAUGGCCUGUAUAAUUCUUGGCAGUUUGGGAAGAAGACUUUUGGCUUCCACUGGUAACUCAACGUAAGUGUUGCAUAGAAUUUCAUAUAUUUUCAGAAAGUAGCCUAACUGUAGAAAAAGGCAAAAUGGAAGCAUUUCGGAACAGAGCCCUAAAUGAGCACAAAGUCACUUUGUCAAAGGUGAGCGACACUAACGUAAAAUAUGACCGAAAGAAGAAAUGUGCGUAUCAGACAACCCUGCUUCCCGAAACUUGAGGAAGGACACGGAGUUGUGAAUCACACGAGGGCUACGCGACUUCAAAUCAACUGGUCACUAGUCAGGCAGCAGCAGAGACAAGAGGUCUCGGUUCUGAGCCUGGACCUGGUGGGAGGGAAGUCUGUAGGAUAGGAGAGGGGAGGAGACAGAGAAGGUGUCCUAAAAACAAAAACAACAAAACAAAACAAAAAAAGGGUUUCAAAUGAUAUUGGCAGGUGUCUACUCACAAGGUGACUGGGAAAACUGCCCCCAAGGAGAGGUCUAUUUUACCUCCUCCCAAAUUCACAGUAUGAGCGUGUAAGGUCAUCGCUGGGAAACAGAUUGAGAAGGACCACUCUGUAGGUUUACCAGAAGGCUCAGGCUGUGGCCCGUGGUCACAGGCUAAAUCCAUGGUUGAAAAUUU
rnacentral:lncRNA from 1 species